GGUAAAGUGGCCGAGUAGGUGGCGGGUUGUAGCCCCGAAGACAGAGGUAGGUCCUCUCUUUACCA
rnacentral:tRNA from 1 species